AUACGGAGGGUGCAAGCGUUACUCGGAAUCACUGGGCGUAAAGGACGCGUAGGCGGGUUGGAAAGUCUGAUGUGAAAUCCUACAGCUUAACUGUAGAACUGCAUUGGAAACUUCCAACCUUGAGUAUGGGAGGGGGAGAUGGAAUUAGUGGUGUAGGGGUAAAAUCCGUAGAUAUCACUAGGAAUACCCAAAGCGAAGGCGAUCUCCUGGAACAUUACUGACGCUAAGGCGUGAAAGCGUGGGGAGCAAACGGGAUUAGAUACCCUAGUAGUCC
rnacentral:rRNA from 1 species